CCUACGGGAGGCAGCAGUGGGGAAUUUUGGACAAUGGGCGAAAGCCUGAUCCAGCAAUGCCGCGUGUGGGAAGAAGGCCUUCGGGUUGUAAACCACUUUUGUACGGAACGAAACGGUUCGCUUUAAUACAGUGGGCUAAUGACGGUACCGUAAGAAUAAGCACCGGCUAACUACGUGCCAGCAGCCGCGGUAAUACGUAGGGUGCGAGCGUUAAUCGGAAUUACUGGGCGUAAAGCGUGCGCAGGCGGUUAUACAAGACAGUUGUGAAAUCCCCGGGCUCAACCUGGGAAUUGCAUCUGUGACUGUAUAGCUAGAGUACGGUAGAGGGGGAUGGAAUUCCGCGUGUAGCAGUGAAAUGCGUAGAUAUGCGGAGGAACACCGAUGGCGAAGGCAAUCCCCUGGACCUGUACUGACGCUCAUGCACGAAAGCGUGGGGAGCAAACAGGAUUAGAUACCCUGGUAGUCCACGCCCUAAACGAUGUCAACUGGUUGUUGGGUGCAUUAGUACUCAGUAACGAAGCUAACGCGUGAAGUUGACCGCCUGGGGAGGUACGGCCGCGAGUAGAACGACGAAUAGAGUAGUACGGCGUGAGACGUGCCGACGGACGACGACGAGGGAGGAGG
rnacentral:rRNA from 1 species